rnacentral:rRNA from 1 species
UACGUAGGGGGCGAGCGUUGUCCGGAGUUACUGGGCGUAAAGGGCAUGCAGGCGGUCUGACGCGUUUUGUGUGACAGCGGGUGGCUUAACUACCCGAGCAUGCGAAAGACGGUUGGACUUGAGGGCUCGAGAGGGACACGGAAUUCCGGGUGGAGUGGUGAAAUGCGUAGAGAUCCGGAGGAACACCGAAGGCGAAGGCAGCCCCCUGGGCUAACACUGACGCUCAUGCACGAAAGCGUGGGGAGCAAACAGG